rnacentral:sRNA from 1 species
GGUUCCUCCGCGCCGUCCGCGCCCACCUGACGGCUGCUCGCUACGUUUUGUUAGCC